rnacentral:rRNA from 1 species
AAUGGGGGCAACCCUGAUCCAGCCAUGCCGCGUGAGUGAUGAAGGCCUUAGGGUUGUAAAGCUCUUUCGCCCGCGAAGAUAAUGACGGUAGCGGGAGAAGAAGCCCCGGCUAACUUCGUGCCAGCAGCCGCGGUAAUACGAAGGGGGCUAGCGUUGUUCGGAAUCACUGGGCGUAAAGCGUACGUAGGCGGAUGCUUAAGUCAGAGGUGAAAGCCUGGAGCUCAACUCCAGAACUGCCUUUGAUACUGGGCGUCUUGAGUCCGGGAGAGGUGAGUGGAACUGCUAGUGUAGAGGUGAAAUUCGUAGAUAUUAGCAAGAACACCAGUGGCGAAGGCGGCUCACUGGCCCGGUACUGACGCUGAGGUACGAAAGCGUGGGGAGCAAA